GACGAGGGACCUAGCGUUGUUCGGAAUUAUUGGGCGUAAAGCGGGUGUAGGCGGGCUUAUAAGUCAGGUGUGAAAUCCCAGGGCUCAACCCUGGAAGUGCACUUGAUACUGUAAGUCUUGAAUGUGGUAGAGGUUACUGGAAUUCCUGGUGUAGUGGUGAAAUACGUAGAUAUCAGGAGGAACACCGGAGGCGAAGGCGGGUAACUGGGCCAACAUUGACGCUGAGACCCGAAAGCGUGGGGAUCAAACAGG
rnacentral:rRNA from 1 species